rnacentral:rRNA from 1 species
AUUGAACACUGGCGGCAUGCUUAACACAUGCAAGUCGAGCGAGCGGCGGACGGGUGAGUAAUUUCUGGGAAACUGCCUGAUGGAGGGAGAUAACUACUGGAAACGGUAGCUAAUACCGCAUACCAUCAGAUGUGCCCAGAUGGGAUUAGCUAGUAGGUGGGGUAAUGGCUCACCUAGGAGACGAUCCCUAGGUGAUCUGAGAGGAUGACCAGCCACACUGGAACUGAGACACGGUCCAGACUCCUACGUGAGGCAGCAGUGGGGAAGAUUGCACAAUGGGCGCAAGCCUGAUGCAGCCAUGCCGCGUGGGUGAAGAAGGCCUUCGGGUUGUAAAGCACUUUCAGCGAGGAGGCGUUACUCGCAGAAGAAGCACCGGCUAACUCCGUGCCAGCCGCCGCGGUAAUUC